AUGCACUCCUCACAUCCCCCUCUCCUUAUUUUCCACAUACAGUCAAAACCAGCCUCUUCUUCCCAUCCCCUUUCCUACUACCGUAGAGCAAGCCCCAUUAUUUUUGAAACCUCCUUCCUAUUAAGAAGAGCACAGAUCCAGAAAAGUGCACAAAAUGGAAAUGUGAGCCUUUGUGAUCCGUCACAGAGUGCAGACCCAGGCUCUGGUUUCUGUGGUGGGCACACCAAGGCAGCGCCCUUUGAGAUGCCAAGAAAAGCAUGAGGCGCCGGCCAUGGCCGAGUCCCUGCCAGCAGCCCCGAGUCCUCAACUCCCAAGAUAGGGAUGGGCAGGUCAAGCAAAGAUCCUGGGGCUUUCAAGCACUCCAUCAACUUUUCCGAAAGUUGCCUUUUCUGGACCUUUCACAUAAACGGAAGUUUCGGCCUCAGCCCCUUCACUUCGCGCCGUGGUUUUGAGACUCAGCUAUGUUGUGGCACCGAUCAGUGGUUCAGCCUCUUCUCCCGCCGAAGAGUCCUCCAUGCACAGAUCUGCCACGUUCUGUGGGUCUGUUUACCAUCCUAGACGUUUGCGUUGUUUCCACCUUUUGGCUGUUAGGAAUGGUGCUGCCAUGAACAUCCCCGUGCAAGUGUUUGUGUGAACGUUUGUUUUCCUAUCUGCGGAGUGGACGCCUAGACGUGGAAUCCCUGUGUAUGUAGUAAAUGUGUAUUUAACUUUAUAAGAAACUAACAAAGCACUGUGCUAUGUUACGUCCCUACCAGCAACGCGUGAAGGGUCUCAUUUCUCCACAUGCUUGCCAAUGCUUGUUACUAUCAAUCUUUUUCAUUAUAUCCUAUUGAGGAACUUUUUAAAAAACACCCACCGAUGCCUGGGCUUCAGCCCAAACGAAUUAAAUCAGAGUUUUGAGGGGUGCCCGGCUGGCUCAGUCUGUAGGGUGUGCGACUCUGGAUGUCAGGGUCAUGACUUGAACCCCACGUUGGGUGCAGAGGUGACUUAAAAAAAAAAUCAUCAGAGGGGCACCUGGGUGGCUCAGUCAGUUAAGCGUCCGACUCUUGAUCUCAGCUCAGGUCUUGAUCUCAGGGUCGUGAGUUCAAGCCCCACGUUGGGCUCCAUGCUGGGUGUGGAGCCUACUUAAAAAAAAAAAAAAUCAGAGUCUCAGGGUUUGGGACCAGCCAUAGGUAUUCAAAACAUAACAAAGCAAAAGCAAAACCCUCCCUAUUUAAAAAGCUACUAGUGUGCUGAAGGGUUGAGAACCAGUGAUCUCACUUUAGGCCCGAAGUUCCAGCCUCUGGGGCAGUGAGAGGGACCUCAGGCUGACUAGCAGCCUCUCCCACACCAGGAAGCAGAGGCGCUUGCCUCCCAAGAAGGCACAUGAAGUCCCAGA
rnacentral:lncRNA from 1 species